AGUGAACGCUGGCGGCGUGCUUAAGACAUGCAAGUCGAACGGCAGUCUUCGGACUGUAGUGGCGCACGGGUGAGUAACGCGUAACUGACCUACCCCAAAGUCGCGGAUAACGAUUCGAAAGAAUCGCUAAUACGUGAUGUGCUGUCAGAUUGUGUUCUGCCAGUAAAGAUUGAUUGCUUUGGGAUGGGGUUGCGUUCCAUCAGCUAGUUGGUGGGGUAAAGGCCCACCAAGGCGACGACGGAUAGCCGGCCUGAGAGGGUGGCCGGCCACAGGGGCACUGCGACACGGGUCCCACUCCUACGGGAGGCAGCAGUCAGGAAUCUUCCACAAUGGGCGAAAGCCUGAUGGAGCGACGCCGCGUGAGGGAUGAAGGUCUUCGGAUCGUAAACCUCCGAAUCAGGGACGAAAGACACUUCGGUGGGAUGACGGUACCUGAGUAAUAGCACCGGCUAACUCCGUGCCAGCCGCCGCAGUAAAAC
rnacentral:rRNA from 1 species